UACGUAGGGUGCAAGCGUUAAUCGGAAUUACUGGGCGUAAAGCGUGCGCAGACGGUUGUGCAAGACCGAUGUGAAAUCCCCGGGCUUAACCUGGGAAUGGCAUUGGUGACUGCACGGCUAGAGUGUGUCAGAGGGGGGUAGAAUUCCACGUGUAGCAGUGAAAUGCGUAGAGAUGUGGAGGAAUACCGAUGGCGAAGGCAGCCCCCCUGGGAUAACACUGACGCUCAUGGCACGAAAGCGUGGGGAGCAAACAGG
rnacentral:rRNA from 1 species